rnacentral:rRNA from 1 species
AUGGCAAUUGUUGGUGCAUAUUCAGAUGUGCUUGCCGUUGAUAUGGUUGGGGGUUUAGUUGUUGGAGCUGUAUCUGAACACUUAGGAGGGAUUUGCGCGGUGGAGACAGCUAUCCAUUUGUGCGGUCAUUGGAUUAGUAAACAGAGAGGGGGGAGGGAGGGAGCAAUGGACAAGAAGGCAACAAAGAUGAAGAUGCUCUCGUCGGCAGCGGCUUUCGUGGAGGGUGGCGUGCAGGACACCUUCGACGACGCCUGCAUCAUCUGCCUUGAGGCCUUCUGCGACAGCGAGCCCUCCGAUAGCGACCUCUCUCUUGCGGAUGUUACAAGCUGCAAGCAUGAUUUCUAUCUCUAG